ensembl:lncRNA
GUUCAUAACAGCGUUCAUUCUCGGAAGAGGAAGAGAAAGGGAAGGGGGACGUGCACGUAGCUCAUUUCGCUCUCCGGACCGAAGGAGAUGGACACCUGAACGGGACAUAUGGGUGUAGAAACGGAGGGUUAGCCAGAGAUGCUGAAUGGAUGGGGCCGUUGCGACGUCACGCGGAGCCCCAGCCGCGCAGCGCACGAGCCAACACUAGACGACAUUGGAAAGCUCGAGGCGUUCUCGACCGCAGAGCUGUCCGUUUGACCGAGAAACCCAAUCUUCACGAUAUAGUCUGAAGGACAGGAGCCGAUGAUAUAGACGUCCAGUCUCUGUGUCGAAAAGAUGCCAGCGAAAGGGAAGGAAAACAUGGAGGAUGUUAUGGAGGAGGGGAGGGUUGGUGUUGAGACUCUCUGUGCCCCACUAUGCAUUGCUGCUCUCAGCCCCUCCUCUCACUGCCUGCCUGCCCCUUCCUCUUGUGAUGAGCGGCAAUCCAUGCUUCACCACCAUCUUAGAAAGCGCUGGCAUGAAAUGGAAGAGGGAGGAAGAAUGAGCAGGUGAUGGAAGAAUAAAAGAGGAUUUUUUAUAAAUGACAUCUGAUCAUGGAUAACAAAUCAAUGCCUGCUGAUGAAGUACUUGACCCAGACGUCUGCACCAUUUCAUUGUGUGCCCCAACAUUAUAACAUUUAAGCACUUUAAAUGCCUCUAUUUCUUUUGCACAUUUUUAAAAAAUGUUUAAAUUGUUUACUUUUUUCUGCUUUUACAUUUUUGUUAAGGUAAUCAUAUAUUAUAAUUUAGAAUCUAUUAUAAUCUGACAUUCUAACAUUAGCUCUGCAUCCUCUAUCUGGACAAGUAAUUGCAAUUGAUUCAAACAUAUCAUCUUAGAUUAGUUUGCUACAAUAUGAAAUGCUAUGUUAUUUAUUUAUUUAUUAUUAUUUACAGAGGCCAACCAAUAGAUAAAUUUAUAGUGCUAAUUAAUUAAAGUGUAAAGCUUUAAUAUAGCACAAACUCAAUCUUUAGCAUAGAGCACUUCAAACAUUCGUGUAACCUUUCCGUCAUCCCUUUCUCAUGUCUUGUAUUUAGUGUCACGUGCUUGAGAGCAUCUGCUAUGAUAAAAAUGACACUGUUAGACUUGAUUGUAAUGCUAUAUUCAAAAUGAGUAGCUAAAUGUUAGAUUCUGAAAACUGUAGACUGCUGAACUAAUGGUGUAGAGAUCAUGAAUGUGAGACCCAUGGCAGCAGUUAAGGGUUACUGCACUGCGAUUGAACAGCUCUGUGUGUUAUUUACACACCUGGUAUAGAGAGAGCUGUUGUCUUUAUUCUCUAUGCAAUUGAGUUGGUCAUGCUAUCAUUAAUCAUUAAUCAUUAAUGAUCAUUAACUAUUAACUAUCAUUAAUGAUCAGUGCAGGACCUGUCCUGAGCAGAUGGAACCUCCUUUAUUCAAAUUUUUAUUCAAACAAUAUUUUAAAUAUGUUAUAAACAAUGCUGGUGUACUAUUAAGGAGAAGAAUCACUACACCAUACUUUACAUGGUCUGUGUUAUGUUAUUUUAUUUUGUCUAUGUUGUCUGAUUGAACCUGCAGUCAUUAGAAGUAAUAAUGCCACUUACAGUACUAAUCAAGUAAAAUCCUUCUACUAAUAAUAAUGUAAAAUACUACUACUAAUAUUAUUAUUAUUAUUAUUAUUAUUAUUAUUAUUAUUAGUAGUAGUAGUAGUAUUUUUAAUAAUCCUCAUUCCUGAUCAGCUAUUUUGUUUAAGUAUUAUUUACAGUACUUGAUCUUAUAAUUAAAUUUGGGCAGAGGCAAACAUAUAUUUUCAAUGGUCUAUGCAAAUAUAUUAAUAUUUGAUCAUAUUAAUGAAAAUUGUGCAAUUUAUUUUGAGACCCACUUUUGUUAUCAUGGACAGUGAUGCCCUUAAAUCAUCAAGCAAGUAUUUAUUUUAUUAAUUAUUAUUAUUAUUAUUAUUAUUAUUAUUAUUAACAUAGAAAUGUAAGAGGAAUGUUAGUACUAUGAUUAAAAAUCAUUUACUAUGCAAUUUAUUGUGAAUCACAAUGAUGAGUGUGUUUCUAAAUGUUAUAUUUCCUGGUGUGAGAUUCUUGAUGUUUUUAAGAUGUAGGCAACUUGUCUGUAAAGACUAAUAUGAUUAUUAUUAGACAAAUCGUGGCAUUGAACUAAUUUGUCCUGUUAUGAAUACUAAUAAAAGUUUACAUUGAAAACAAAGGAGAAUUGUGCAUUUCUCUUAAACAAACAGUGACAGAAAAUAAUGGCGGUAAUGCUGAGGUUUUCUACAAUCCCACAGUCUACUGCAUAUAAACUACUCUAUUUCACCAUGUAUGCACAGGGACAUUCUUUAAUAUGAUAUACUGUUGCACUUUAUAUGUCUACACAUUAGAACUAUUCAACAAUCAAAGCAUUAAUGUGUGCAAGAUUCUAAGAUGCACAUCAGUUUAAUAUGUGUAGGUGGACCUUUCUGGUUCCUAUACACACACAGUCAGUGGUUUUACAGGCAAUGCCAAGGAUGUUUGCAACUGAGACAUUUGCAAUAAAAUAACUUGAUGCCUGCAUUAAUAUGCACAGCAAAUUAUAUUAUGCCCAUAUGAUGCAUGCAAUACCACUGUUGAGCUUGUUUUGGGAGUGACAUACAUUCUGGACAAACAUUUUUCUCUAAUGGCGUUCCAGACAUAUAUGUACAAUAUAAUCAAUAGAAGGCAUAUCACAGAAUUCCUCUCUAAUCUACAGCUCAGUUUAAUGCAUUAAAUCUAUAUAUAAUUAAUAAAGAAGAGAUCAUAGUGAAUCAAGUCCAUAAACUGGUAUGGAUGGUGACAUGUCUUUAUUUCUUGAAAAACCUAAUCUCUCAACUGUCAGUGUGCCAAGAGGCAGAAUGCACAGUGUACUGUAGAGUGUAAUAAAGCUGAUAUUAAAACACUUUUGGGUGAGUCGGUACCACAAGGCAACAGAAGGCACAUAACAGGAUUAGCCCUGGCUUCCAUACUUCAUGCCACAUUCAGAGCUGGGUCACCUAUGGGGCAGGAGCCAGCAAGUCGUCUCACUAUUAGCUUAAUUAUUAUUAUUAUUUAUUACUUAUUUAUUUAUUUUUACAGCAUAGCUAUUUAAAAUUCAGGUUGUAAUUGUUGUGGAAAUCACAUAAAUAUCAGCAAAUAAAUAUAGUGCAAUGUGUUGUUAAAAAUAGUACAGUUUCAUAAGUGUGUGCCCUUCAUUACUUCUCAAUCUGCAGUUCUG